ensembl:lncRNA
AUCAUCUAUAAAAUAACAACACCCAAAUCUCUGAACAAUAUAUGAAAGUUUUUAACUCAAACUAACAUUUUCUUUCUUUUUUUUUUCAGAGGUUAAACAGUUUAAGACCAGAGUUUAGCUCAGUGGCGCGGCGCCUGCCUCAGAGGUUAAACAGUUUAUUAUGUACAAGUAUAAAGUGCGACUAGAAAUGGGCAGGGGCCAGGCCGGAAGACGUCCCCAGCUCAGUCCGUGAUGAUGAGCUUGUCCACUCCCCAGUCUGCAUAGCUCCCAUCGGGCAGGUAGCGGCGAAUGAUGAUGAGGAUCCUCCGGGCCUUGAGCUCCCUUCAGACCUAAGGCCUUGGAGUGUUUUAUGCUUGGUCUAGCCACAGCAUUGCUAUUAAUGUCAUUUCUAUAAAUUCCUUUUCAAGGUAGCCUGUAAAUUACGUAUGGAAAUCAAUCUUACCACGCUCUACCUGCCUUAAUAAUGACAAUUAAUUAUUAAUUAAUUAAUAAUUAAUUAACAAGGUGAAUCACUGUGCGUGUUCAGCCCACUGAGCUCUGAAUUACUUUAGGCUGUUUCCAAAAACCAGGCCCACCUCCAGAAAGCUGAAAGGGCCUCAGAGCCACAGACUUUUCACAGGAUCAUAGAAAGGAUUUUCAACGUUAUGCCAAACAGUGGUGGGUGCCAAACGUUUCUUUCUCUUCUCUCUCACCCCUCAACUUCUCUGUCUGCAGAAGACAUACCCUUGGAAGAGAAUGGCAGAUUGCCAUAGCUCCACUUUCUGGAGUAGUAUGUUUUUUAAAAUUUUGUCUUCACCGCAAAAUUGAAAUCUCUUUCCACAGUUCAAAAGUUUGAGAACCUUCUCCAUCUGCCUCAAAGUCUGCAGCAUCUACAGAUAAAAUCGAAAGGAGACAUUUGUGUGAGGUUGAGACAAGAGACCUCAGUCAGAAGCUGUGGGUGGUGAGCAGCUUUCCUCCACCACACCCUUUGCCAUGAUGUUCUACCUUAUCUCAGGCCUGGAAGGAAUGGAGCCAGCCAACCAUGGACUGAACCCUCUGAAACCAUGAGCCAAAAUAUUUGGUUUUGGGUUUUUUUUUUUGUCACAGAAACAAAAAGCUGAUGAACACAACAACAUAUAAAAAAGACCCUAGCGAGGACUCUACCCCUCCUACCAUGUGAGGACAUUGCAAGAAGCCAUCAUGUAGGAAGUGAUCCUCACCAGACACCAGAUCACCCACUCCUCAAUCUCAG